GACGGAGGGUGCAAGCGUUGUUCGGAUUGACUGGGCGUAAAGCGCGUGUAGGCGGCUUAGCAAGUCGGGCGUGAAAGCCCUCGGCUCAACCGAGGAAGUGCACCCGAAACUGCUGAGCUUGAGUGCCGGAGAGGAUGGCGGAAUUCCCCAAGUAGAGGUGAAAUUCGUAGAUAUGGGGAGGAACACCGGUGGCGAAGGCGGCCAUCUGGACGGUAACUGACGCUGAGACGCGAAAGCGUGGGGAGCAAACAGG
rnacentral:rRNA from 1 species